rnacentral:rRNA from 1 species
UUGAACGCUGGCGGCUGCUUAACACAUGCAAGUCGAACGGAGUGGCGAACGGGUGAGUAACGCGUGAGCAACCUGCCUAUGACAGUGGGAUAGCCUCGGGAAACCGGGAUUAAUACCGCAUAGUCAUAGAUGGGCUCGCGUCUGAUUAGCUAGUUGGUGAGAUAACAGCCCACCAAGGCGACGAUCAGUAGCCGGUCUGGGAGGAUGGCCGGCCACAUUGGAACUGAGACACGGUCCAAACUCCUACGGGAGGGAGCAGUGGGGAAUAUUGCAAAAUGGGGGAAACCCUGAUGCCGCGACGCCGCGAGAACGAAGGAGGUAUUCGUAUCGUAAAGUUCUGUCCUAUGGGAAGCGGUACCAUAGAAGAAAGCUCCGGCUAAAUACGUGCCAGCAGCCGCGGUAAUAC